rnacentral:rRNA from 1 species
UCGGGAAUUUUGGGCAAUGGGGGAAACCCUGACCCAGCAACGCCGCGUGAAGGAUGAAGUAUUUCGGUAUGUAAACUUCGAAAGAAUAGGAAGAAUAAAUGACGGUACUAUUUAUAAGGUCCGGCUAACUACGUGCCAGCAGCCGCGGUAAUACGUAGGGACCAAGCGUUGUUCGGAUUUACUGGGCGUAAAGGGCGCGUAGGCGGCAUGACAAGUCACUCGUGAAAUCUCUGGGCUUAACCCAGAACGGCCAAGUGAUACUGUCGCGCUAGAGUGCAGAAGGGGCAAUCGGAAUUCUUGGUGUAGCGGUGAAAUGCGUAGAUAUCAAGAGGAACACCUGAGGUGAAGACGGGUUGCUGGGCUGACACUGACGCUGAGGCGCGAAAGCCAGGGGAGCAAACGGGAUUAGAUACCCACGUAGUCCCUGAGCGGGCUGGCAAGGCGCAU